AAGAGACAUUACUUCCGAGUAAUACAGUCAUCGCGAAUUUUACAGUGUUUGCUAUCAGUGAUAUAGUCCCCUCGUCUGGUUCAAAAUGCGACCUUGAUAAAGAGAUUCGGUGCGCCGUUACUGUAUUAGAAUCAAAUGGUGUGAAUCAAUCUGGUCCAGCCUCGUUUAGUGAGCCGGUAUAUUUAAUGCGAGACGGAAUACUUAAGUCUCUGGUUCCGAAUCUAUGCGUUAUAAACAACACCUGCUACUUUGAAAACGAUCAUGAUCCACGAGACCCACAGUAUGUCUGCUACCCUGCAUUGGACCCGUUUUCAUGGAUACGUAACUUGACACUACCUAGAGGUAAAGUUUCAUAUGCUGUUCUUUAUUUGCUGAUUAAGUCAUGUA